rnacentral:tRNA from 1 species
UGGGGUGUAGCUCAGUUGGUAGAGCGCCUGACUCUGGAUCAGGAAAUCGGGGGUUCGAGACCUCCCACCCCAG